rnacentral:rRNA from 1 species
UACGUAGGGGGCGAGCGUUGUCCGGAUUUAUUGGGCGUAAAGAGCUCGUAGGCGGUUCGUCGCGUCGGCUGUGAAAACCCGGAGCUCAACUCCGGGCCUGCAGUCGAUACGGGCGGACUCGAGUUCGGCAGGGGAGACUGGAAUUCCUGGUGUAGCGGUGAAAUGCGCAGAUAUCAGGAGGAACACCGGUGGCGAAGGCGGGUCUCUGGGCCGAUACUGACGCUGAGGAGCGAAAGCGUGGGGAGCGAACAGG